rnacentral:rRNA from 1 species
UACAGAGGUCUCAAGCGUUGUUCGGAUUCAUUGGGCGUAAAGAGCGUGUAGGCGGCCAGGUAGGUCCGCUGUGAAAGUCCGAGGCUCAACCUCGGAAUGUCGGCGGAAACCCUCUGGCUAGAGUCCGGAAGAGGAGAGUGGAAUUCCCGGUGUAGCGGUGAAAUGCGCAGAUAUCGGGAAGAACACCCGUGGCGAAGGCGGCUCUCUGGAACGGUACUGACGGCUGAGACGCGAAAGCGUGGGGAGCGAAACGGG